rnacentral:rRNA from 1 species
UACAGAGGGUGCGAGCGUUGUCCGGAAUCACUGGGCGUAAAGGGCGCGUAGGCGGUGACUUAAGCGUGUGGUGAAAGCUCGGGGCUCAACCCCGAGUCGGCCGUGCGAACUGGGUCACUGGAGCAUGUCAGAGGCAGGCGGAAUUCCGGGUGUAGCGGUGGAAUGCGUAGAUAUCGGGAGGAAUACCUAUGGCGAAAGCAGUCUCUGGACCAUCACUGACGCUGAUCUGCGAAAGCUAGGGGGAGCGAACGGGG